rnacentral:sRNA from 1 species
GGAAGCAAGGGUGAAAUGGCUUCAACCUCUGUCCUUCCAUGAACCCAGGUUUGAUUUGGCUGCUCUGGAGGCAUAGGUGAGUGUCCUCUUCUCUCUCGCUAUCAUACGUAUCUCUCCCAAAGUUGGGUGUUUGGUUAGAGAAUGCAAUCUUCCUAGAACCAACUGGACUUCCUUAUGUUAACAAUACAACCUGCUAAGAUUUCCAUUCCAUCAUAUGUA